rnacentral:rRNA from 1 species
GACGAACGCUGGCGGCGUGCUUAACACAUGCAAGUCGAACGGAAAGGCCCUGCUUUUGUGGGGUGCUCGAGUGGCGAACGGGUGAGUAACACGUGAGUAACCUGCCCUUGACUUUGGGAUAACUUCAGGAAACUGGGGCUAAUACCGGAUAGGAGCUCCUGCUGCAUGGUGGGGGUUGGAAAGUUUCGGCGGUUGGGGAUGGACUCGCGGCUUAUCAGCUUGUUGGUGGGGUAGUGGCUUACCAAGGCUUUGACGGGUAGCCGGCCUGAGAGGGUGACCGGCCACAUUGGGACUGAGAUACGGCCCAGACUCCUACGGGAGGCAGCAGUGGGGAAUAUUGCACAACGGGCGGAAGCCUGAUGCAGCAACGCCGCGUGCGGGAUGACGGCCUUCGGGUUGUAAACCGCUUUCGCCUGUGACGAAGCGUGAGUGACGGUAAUGGGUAAAGAAGCACCGGCUAACUACGUGCCAGCAGCCGCGGUGAUACGUAGGGUGCGAGCGUUGUCCGGAUUUAUUGGGUGUAAAGGGCUCGUAGGUGGUUGAUCGCGUCGGAAGUGUAAUCUUGGGGCUUAACCCUGAGCGUGCUUUCGAUACGGGUUGACUUGAGGAAGGUAGGGGAGAAUGGAAUUCCUGGUGGAGCGGUGGAAUGCGCAGAUAUCAGGAGGAACACCAGUGGCGAAGGCGGUUCUCUGGGCCUUUCCUGACGCUGAGGAGCGAAAGCGUGGGGAGCGAACAGGCUUAGAUACCCUGGUAGUCCACGCUGUAAACGGUGGGUACUAGGUGUGGGGUCCAUUCCACGGGUUCCGUGCCGUAGCUAACGCUUUAAGUACCCCGCCUGGGGAGUACGGCCGCAAGGCUAAAACUCAAAGGAAUUGACGGGGCCCCGCACAAGCGGCGGAGCAUGCGGAUUAAUUCGAUGCAACGCGUAGAACCUUACCUGGGUUUGACAUGGAUCGGGAGUGCUCAGAGAUGGGUGUGCCUCUUUUGGGGUCGGUUCACAGGUGGUGCAUGGCUGUCGUCAGCUCGUGUCGUGAGAUGUUGGGUUAAGUCCCGCAACGAGCGCAACCCUUGUUCACUGUUGCCAGCACGUUAUGGUGGGGACUCAGUGGAGACCGCCGGGGUCAACUCGGAGGAAGGUGGGGAUGACGUCAAGUCAUCAUGCCCCUUAUGUCCAGGGCUUCACGCAUGCUACAAUGGCUGGUACAGAGAGUGGCGAGCCUGUGAGGGUGAGCGAAUCUCGGAAAGCCGGUCUCAGUUCGGAUUGGGGUCUGCAACUCGACCUCAUGAAGUCGGAGUCGCUAGUAAUCGCAGAUCAGCAACGCUGCGGUGAAUACGUUCCCGGG